rnacentral:lncRNA from 1 species
CGGAAGCAGACGACGCAGUGCGCUCCGUUGCCCCGCCGUCGCAGUUGUCUUUGGGGACGGUGGCAUGCUUUUGUAAAGCAGUUAAGCAUUUUACAAGGCCAUGGUGACAUCGUGCGUCGCUUAUGGGUGCACAAAUCGCAUUAAGAAGACGCCUGGGAUCACUUUUCACGUGUUUCCGAAAGACUGCGCGCAGCGUUCUGCCUGGGAACGUGCCGUUCGAAGAAGUGGUUGGAGAGCUAAGGACGGUGACCACCUCUGCCCUAUUCACUUCGAAGAAUGCUGCUUCAACAGAACGGGGCAGACGACCAGACUGCGGCCUGGCAGUGUACCUACAAUUUUUCCUGCUUUCCCAG